UGCAGAUAAAAGCAGUAGCCUCUACGGCCUUCAUCUUUCGAGUGUUCAAUCAUCAUCAUCAUCGGCAGCUCAUAAGAGAAAGAAGAUAUACUGAGCAAAGCGUUCGUCAAGAGCUUUACCUUCAAUGAACUCAGACUUGCAACCAGAAACUUCAGAUCAAAUUCUGUUAUCCGAGAAGGGCAUUUCGGUUCUGCUAUAGAGGUUCAAUCGAUGAGACUACUCUAACUCCAACUAAUUCCAUCACAGGUUUUAUAGUUCCUGUCAGGCGUCUUAACCCUGAUGGAUUUCAUGGUCACCGAGAAUGUCUGGAAUCAACUAUUUGUGGCAGUUAAGUCACCAGAACUUAGUUAAACUGAUUGGUUAUUGGCUUCGAAGAUAAACAACGGCUUCUUUUGUACGAGUUUAUGCAUAAGGGUAGUCUUGAGGAUCAUCUGUUCACAAAUGAUGUCCAGUUAAAACCGCUCUGGUGGACCUUAUGUGUUGAGAUUGCUCUUGAUGCAGCUAAAGAGCUUGCAUUCCUUCAUAGCGACCAUGUUUAAGUCAUUUAAACCUUCUAAGAUCUUGCUCGACUCGAAAACUUUCAGACUUUGGUUUACCGAGGGACUGUCCAAAGGGAGAAACAAGCUAUGUUAUUACAAGAGUCAUGGAUCGGGAUGCUCGCAGCUUCUCGAGAAAGAGUGGGAUUGAUAAAUAAUGUUUGAGAAAACAAAAAGAUAGCUAAGUCGCCGCUUACAAAGCGAAGAUGAAAAUAUAUGUAGAGAAAAGGAGAGCCUUUUUUUUACUGGAAAGAUAAUUUUCUUCUUUGAAAAUAAUAUUAACAGUUUAUAUUAUUGCAAGCGGAAACUAUUUAAGUUUUAGUUAACAUUUAGAAAUGUAUAUUUUACCCUCAGUUGAAUACAAC